rnacentral:rRNA from 1 species
GAUGAACGCUAGCUACAGGCUUAACACAUGCAAGUCGAGGGGAAACGACAUCGAAAGCUUGCUUUUGAUGGGCGUCGACCGGCGCACGGGUGAGUAACGCGUAUCCAACCUGCCCAUCACUUGGGGAUAACCUUGCGAAAGUAAGACUAAUACCCAAUGAUAUCUCUAGAAGACAUCUGAAAGAGAUUAAAGAUUUAUCGGUGAUGGAUGGGGAUGCGUCUGAUUAGCUUGUUGGCGGGGUAACGGCCCACCAAGGCAACGAUCAGUAGGGGUUCUGAGAGGAAGGUCCCCCACAUUGGAACUGAGACACGGUCCAAACUCCUACGGGAGGCAGCAGUGAGGAAUAUUGGUCAAUGGGCGAGAGCCUGAACCAGCCAAGUAGCGUGCAGGAAGACGGCCCUAUGGGUUGUAAACUGCUUUUAGAAGGGAAUAAAGUGAGAGUCGUGACUCUUUUUGUAUGUACCUUAUGAAUAAGGACCGGCUAAUUCCGUG